CAGCAGCCGCGGUAAUACGUAGGGUGCGAACGUUAAUCGGAAUUACUGGGCGUAAAGCGUGCGCAGGCGGUUAUAUAAGUCAGAUGUGAAAUCCCCGGGCUCAACCUGGGAACUGCAUUUGAGACUGUAUGGCUAGAGUGUGUCAGAGGGGGGUAGAAUUCCACGUGUAGCAGUGAAAUGCGUAGAUAUGUGGAGGAAUACCGAUGGCGAAGGCAGCCCCCUGGGAUAACACUGACGCUCAUGCACGAAAGCGUGGGGAGCAAACAGGAUUAGAUACCCCGGUAGUCCCUGUCUCUUAUAC
rnacentral:rRNA from 1 species